rnacentral:tRNA from 1 species
UAUAUGCAGGUGUAAAGUGCACGGAAAGUUUUGAUCUUUUAAGGACUAGUGUGAUUCUAGUGGAUAUAG